CACUUUUUGUUUUUGUUCUUUUGGUAUCUCUGCCGAUUGCCAGUUGUUGUUUGUGUGGUGGCUCGGUCGCUCGCUGUCUGGCUGAGGGUGGGCGCUCUGCUCGUACGAACCGAGCGCGCCGCUGGCUGACGGUGCACUGAUCGGAUCGUCACAAACGUGGCCAACACGACAGGUAAGCAACGUACACAAAAAGCAGUCAGCAGUACCCAGUCGAAGUCCGACAAACUCCCAACUCUGUAGUGUUCUCUUCAGGGCACUUUGGGGUGUAUGUAUUUACAUAUACACUCAUAUACAAUCUAGAUAUAUUUAAGUGUAUAAAUUCCGCGUUUAGCUUCGGCUUAGCUCGUUCGCCU
rnacentral:lncRNA from 1 species